GGGUCUCUGUGAUGAGAACAUGGAAUGUGCUCCCCUGUUGGGGCCCCGACCUCUCCGUGGGGAAUCAUUUCCAUGCUGCCUUCCUUCUGAAGGGCCC